UCUAAAGAACUUGGGUACCAAGACCCUGUUGAAAUGCCCUCCAAAACUGAGAAGUCAAUUGAAUGCCCAUAUCCGAAAUGAUGGACGAGGGAACUCCUUGCAGCCUGACUAACUCCCGGAUAUACAAUCUAGCAUAACCCUCAGCUGUAUAAGAUGUAUGCAUGUGUAAGAAAUGCAUAGACUUAGCCUAUCUGCAACAACCCAAAUAGAAUCAUGAUGAUGACGCGAAAGAGGUAACCCGGUCACGAAGUCCAUAUUCACCACCUCCC
rnacentral:lncRNA from 1 species